UCCGUAGGUGGAUUGGUCAGUCAGAGGUGAAAUCCUGCAGCUCAACUGUAGAACUGCCUUUGAUACUGCCGGUCUUGAAUUAUUGUGAAGUGGUUAGAAUAUGUAGUGUAGCGGUGAAAUGCAUAGACAUUACAUAGAAUACCGAUUGCGAAGGCAGAUCACUAACAAUAUAUUGACACUGAUGGACGAAAGCGUGGGGAGCGAACAGGAUUAGAUACCCUGGUAGUCC
rnacentral:rRNA from 1 species